rnacentral:piRNA from 1 species
UGAACGAGCUGAUGGAUAUGAAC